CAGACGAUGCGUCAUGCAUAUCAAUAAGCGGAGGAAAAGAAACUAACAAGGAUUCCCCUAGUAACGGCGAGUGAAGCGGGAAGAGCUCAAAUUUGAAAUCUUAAAGGGUUUCCCUUUACGAAUUGUAGUUUAAAGAAGUGUUUUCUGUUGAGGUUUUGGUAAAAGUUCUUUGGAAUAGGACAUCAUAGAGGGUGAGAAUCCCGUAUUUGACCUUUACUUUCAACUUUGUGAUACACUUUCAAAGAGUCGGAUUGUUUGGGAAUGCAGUCCAAAAUGGGUGGUAAAUUUCAUCUAAAGCUAAAUAUUGGCGAGAGACCGAUAGCGAACAAGUACCGUGAGGGAAGGAUGAAAAGAACUUUGAAAAGAGAGUUAAACAGUACGUGAAAUUGUCAAAAGGGAAGCGUUUGACACCAGUGUUGUUUUUCUGAAAAUCAAUUAAAGAACUGUUUAUGCUAAGCUGUUUAGACUUUAUCAGCUAUCUGUUUAGUUUUGAGCUUUUCUUUAAUGCACUUUUCAGUUAACAAGUCAACAUCAAUUUCUUUUGCUGUAAAAAAGCUUGAGGAAGGUGGCUUGAGAUUCGUCUUAAGUGUUUAUAGCCUCUUGCCUAUGCAGUCGGAGAGAUUGAGGUCUGCAGCGUAGAUCCUUCGGGGCUAAAUGCAUUUGUGCUAAGUUAUAGCAUUUUAUAGACAACUUGUUGACUAUGAUUUGUCUUGUAGCUUACUCGCUUAUGUUAUUUUACCUACGCUUAGGAUGUUGACACACGCGCGUGCUCG
rnacentral:rRNA from 1 species